GUUUGAUUCUGGCUCAGGAUAAACGCUGGCGGCGUGCCUAACACAUGCAAGUCGAACGCGGUUCGUGAGGAAACUUAUGGACCGAGUGGCGGACGGGUGAGUAACACGUGGGUUAUCUACCUUGAGGUGAGGAAUACCGGCGAGAAAUCGCCGACAAUACCGCAUCGGUUUGGCAACAAACAAAGUUCCGGGAUCUCCCGGGACGCCACAAGAUGAGCCUGCGCCCGAUUAUGCUUCGUUGGUGGGGUAAAAGCCUACCAAGGCGACAAUCGGUAGCUGGUCUGAGAGGACGAUCAGCCACACUGGGAUUGAGAACGGCCCAGACUCCUACGGGGGGCAGCAGUGAGGAAUUUUCGUCAAUGGGGGCAACCCUGAACGAGCAACGCCGCGUGCAGGAAGAAGGUUUUCGGAUCGUAAACUGCUUUUCCUGGGGAAGAAGAAGGACGGUACCCAGGGAAGAAGCCCCGGCUAACUACGUGCCAGCAGCCGCGGUAAUACGUAGGGGGCAAGCGUUGUCCGGAUUUAUUGGGCGUAAAGCGCACGCAGGCGGUCUGUCUCGUUUCCAGUGACAGGUGGUGGCUUAACUACCACAGGCCUGGGAAGACCGGCAGACUUGAGGGCUUCAGAGGGAGGCGGAAUUCCAGGUGGAGCGGUGAAAUGCGUAGAGAUCUGGAAGAACACCAAAGGCGAAGGCAGCCUCCUGGGAAACUCCUGACGCUGAUGUGCGAAAGCCAGGGGAGCGAACGGGAUUAGAUACCCCGGUAGUCCUGGCCGUAAACGAUGACCACUAGACGUGGGAGGUAUCGACCCCUUCCGUGUCAAAGCUCACGCAUGAAAUGGUCCGCCUGGGGAGUACGGUCCCAAGAAUAAAACUCCAAAGGAAUUGACGGGGAGCCGCUCAAGCAGCGGAGCGUGGUGGUUUAAUUCGAGGCAACGCGAAGAACCUUACCAAGACUUGACAUGGGCGUGAAAGCCGCCGUAAUGGGUGGUGGCCGGGGAAACUCGGACAGGUUCACAGGUGCUGCAUGGCUGUCGUCAGCUCGUGUCGUGAGAUGUUGGGUUAAGACCCGCAACGAGCGCAACCCCUAUCGUUAGUUGAAUCUUCUAGCGAGACUGCCACGCUAAACGUGGAGGAAGGUGGGGAUGACGUCAAGUCAGCACGGCCCUUACGUCUUGGGCGACACACACGCUACAAUGGUCGGGACAAAGGGUUGGCCAACCCGCGAGGGGGAGCAAAUCUCAUCAAAGCCGAUCUCAGUUCAGAUUGCAGGCUGAAACUCGCCUGCAUGAAGGAGGAGUUGCUAGUAACCGUGGGUCAGCAUACCACGGUGAAUACGUUCCCGGGUCUUGUACACACCGCCCGUCACACCACGAAAGUCGGCAACACCUGAAGCCGCCCGGCUAACCCCACUGCGUGGGGAGGCAAGCGUCGAGGGUGGGGUCGGUGAUUGGGGUGAAGUCGUAACAAGGUAACC
rnacentral:rRNA from 1 species